rnacentral:tRNA from 1 species
UCCCUGGUGGCUCAGAUGGUAAAGAAUCUGCCUGUGAUGCAGAAGAACCAGGUUCAAUCUCUGGGUCAGGAAG